UACGUAGGUGGCAAGCGUUGUCCGGAAUGACUGGGCGUAAAGGGAGCGUAGGCGGCGCAGUAAGUUAGGAGUGAAAGCCCGGGGCUCAACCCCGGGACUGCAUUUGGAACUGUAUGGCUGGAGUGUCGGAGAGGCAGGCGGAAUUCCUAGUGUAGCGGUGAAAUGCGUAGAUAUUAGGAGGAACACCAGUGGCGAAGGCGGCCUGCUGGACGAUGACUGACGUUGAGGCUCGAAAGCGUGGGUAUCGAACAGG
rnacentral:rRNA from 1 species